UACGGGGGGGGCAAGCGUUGUUCGGAAUUACUGGGCGUAAAGGGCUCGUAGGUGGCCAACUAAGUCAGACGUGAAAUCCCUCAGCCUUAACUGGGGAACUGCGUCUGAUACUGGAUGGCUUGAGUUUGGGAGAGGGAUGCGGAAUUCCAGGUGUAGCGGUGAAAUGCGUAGAUAUCUGGAGGAACACCGGUGGCGAAGGCGGCAUCCUGGACCAAUACUGACACUGAGGAGCGAAAGCCAGGGGAGCAAACGGGAGUUAGAAACCCUUG
rnacentral:rRNA from 1 species